rnacentral:ribozyme from 1 species
ACUAAUCCAAAACUAGAAACAACAAUACAAUGUCCAACCCCAAGGUUUUCUUUGAUAUGUCCAUCGGUGGAAAGGCCGCUGGCCGCGUCGUUAUGGAGCUUCGUGCCGAUGCUGUGUAAGUUUUGUGGGGCCCUCAUCAGUCGUGCGACUCAAAAGAUCCAAUGGUUCCCAUCGGUGUGACUUGUCGGUGAUCGAUGCA